rnacentral:rRNA from 1 species
UACGUAGGGUGCGAGCGUUGUCCGGAAUUACUGGGCGUAAAGAGCUCGUAGGUGGUUUGUCGCGUUGUCCGUGAAAACUCACAACUCAAUUGUGGGCGUGCGGGCGAUACGGGCAGACUGGAGUACUGCAGGGGAGACUGGAAUUCCUGGUGUAGCGGUGGAAUGCGCAGAUAUCAGGAGGAACACCGGUGGCGAAGGCGGGUCUCUGGGCAGUAACUGACGCUGAGGAACGAAAGCGUGGGGAGCGAACAGG